rnacentral:rRNA from 1 species
AUUGAACGCUGGCGGCAUGCCUUACACAUGCAAGUCGAACGGUAACGGGCCUUCGGGUGCCGACGAGUGGCGAACGGGUGAGUAAUGUAUCGGAACGUACCUUUCAGUGGGGGAUAACGUAGCGAAAGUUACGCUAAUACCGCAUACGCUCUACGGAGGAAAGGGGGGGAUCGCAAGACCUCUCGCUAAAAGAUGAGCCCAUGUCUGAUUAGCUAGUUGGUGGGGUAAGGGCCUACCAAGGCGACGAUCAGUAGCCGGCCUGAGAGGGUGUACGGCCACACUGGGACUGAGACACGGCCCAGACUCCUACGGGAGGCAGCAGUGGGGAAUAUUGGACAAUGGGCGAAAGCCUGAUCCAGCAAUGCCGCGUGUGUGAAGAAGGCCUUAGGGUUGUAAAGCACUUUAAGUGGGAAAGAAGUGCAUUCAAUUAAUACUUGGAUGUAUUGACGUUACCCACAGAAUAAGCACCGGCUAACUCCGUG